AAAUUUAAUGAUUUUAUCAUGGUAUGGAUGGAAGGUAUAGAUUCAUUUWUUUACAGCAAUCCAAUUCAAUUGUCAAGAAAUGGACCGUGGUAGACUAUUCGGUUUUUAGUAACUCUUCAAAUUAAUGGCUUUUUUGCUUUUUCUAGGGUAGAUCGUACUGCAUUCUAAUUCUUUAAAAAGAAUUCUGAUGAAAGUAGUCUACCUAUAUUCACACUGGAUACAUAAUUGAAGCUAURUAUAAAGUCAAGAUAUCAAGGCCUUCUUCAUCAUUUCCCUCUGUCAGAUCGUCAAGUAAAGAGCUCUGGAUAUAAGAUCUUCACAAUGAAAUACAUUUUCGUGGCAAUGGUCGUUAUGGCAACAGUCAUUCUCAGCGUUGAAGGAAAKCCUGGCUUCAGUGAUAAAAAGCUAUCAAAGCGCUGCAGCUUUACGAUCUCUAAUUUACCUUACUGCGAAGAUCAAGAGAAGCCAAACAACCUCAUCCGGAAGAUUCUUCACCUACGUUCAGUAAAAAAGCAAGAAGAUCUCAAUCAAGAUAAAUAAAGCCAUAGAACUGUUCUCAGCGGAUAUACUAUACCAAUAAAUGUAGAUUACACAGACUUCCAUUUGUGCAAUAGCUUGACCUUGCUUUCGAUAACUAAUGUAGUGUGAUAUAAAAUUUUCCACUUCU